rnacentral:misc_RNA from 1 species
CCGAGUUUACAACUCCCAAACCCCUGUGAACAUACCACUUGUUGCCUCGGCGGAUCAGCCCGCUCCCGGUAAAAGCGGGACGGCCCGCCAGAGGACCCCUAAACUCUGUUUCUAUAUGUAACUUCUGAGUAAAACCAUAAAUAAAUCA